rnacentral:rRNA from 1 species
UACGGAGGGUGCAAGCGUUGUUCGGAAUCACUGGGCGUAAAGGGCGUGUAGGCGGCCCGCUAAGUCUGAUGUGAAAUCCCCUCGCUCAACGAGGGAACUGCGUCGGAAACUGGCGGACUCGAGUACCGGAGAGGAAGGUGGAAUUCCCGGUGUAGCGGUGAAAUGCGUAGAUAUCAGGAGGAACACCGGUGGCGAAGGCGGGUCUCUGGGCCGAUACUGACGCUGAGGAGCGAAAGCGUGGGGAGCGAACAGG